rnacentral:lncRNA from 1 species
AAAGGCUAAAACUACUUCAAGGCAGAAUUAUAACUAAUAGACUCAUCCCUUGGUAGCUUGAAGGAUUUUUCCACACUUGAAGCUGUUGAUUUUAAACCUAAAAACAGUUAGCCCUCAGCAUAAAAUCAUCUGCCUGCUUUUCUGACAUGCUCAGCACCUUCCUCUCUCAGCACCUUUUGCAUACCAAGUAGAGUCAAGAUUCACAGAGCCUGCAUGGGACUCGAAUGACAUGAUAGUCUGUGCGGUCUCUCUGCACAGGUGUGAAUUUUGACCAAAGUACUGAGAAUUUACUCAGCCACCCGUGCAGUUAGGACAGACGGUCAUCUGGAAUUUACUUCAAGAAAGGAAAACUGUAUGUGCAGCUUGUACACGGAGAUAAUCAUACUUUUAAAAUAAGAGUCACAGCUUACGUAUUUGAGAUAACAGAUGCAGCACUGCCCUGCAGCAAAGCCUUACUCUGCAUAUCAUGUGACUGUUAUAUUAGGAAUAUGUCCUGCUUAAAAAUAGGAAAGCCUGCUGCACCGGUUGGGAAGUAGAGAAGUAGAGGUUAUUAUUAAUAGGAUAUUUUGCAUGCAAUUUUCUGUCAAUUAAGUUUCAAUAAUCAAACCCACAUGAUUUGAACCCCCGCAUCACACCCCUUUAAGCAGUGAAUAUUAACAUAUUAAAACAAAACAAAACAAAAAAAUCCUCAUGAGUAUUUGCACUGCAUUGGCUCAAGAACAUAUUUGGAAACUGGCUGAAUGACUGAGAAAGAGAGGGAUGCCCAAAAGGAUGGCUAUAUUUUGGCAGAUGCCAAUGUGUAGCUGUCUUCAAAAUUCCCAUGGAACUUCAGAGAAAAGAAAGGUGCGGGUCUUGCAAUCCUGGCAAAACUGCAGGUACACUGCUGGAGUGCAUUUCCCGCUUAGCUGCAUUUGGAAGGAAUCUAUCUUGUGCUCUCUGAGAGCCAACCAAACACAGUAAAUGGGGGAAACUGGAAGACUGGCAUUGAAAGGACAAGCCUCACCUCAACUAAAAUGCUGUCAUAGAUACACCCAUUGAAUCCAGCAGGCUUAGGAUCUGUCUGCAGAAGCUGUGAGCUUUCCUUCCCUUUCAGAAGAAUUGAGUUAGGAGAGACUGAGGGCCAGAUCAAAUGUGGUUACUGGUGUUUCUCUGCAGGAAGCAUUAUAGUCAGCUGCACAGUAACUGAUGCUCUUGGUUGCACAUUACUUUUGGCUGGGGGAAGCUCCUGGAAAAUUGUCUGUACAGGCAACAUCAUCAUUUUAAUUUUCUCUCUUAAUUUAUGGUGCAACAAGACCAAAAUCAUUGGUCUCAAAACACUAGAGAAAUUAUGGACUAGUUAGUAUGGGAGGGCUGCCUUUUCUCUCUAAAGGAUGAGCAGAAAUAAUGGAUUCAUUUUUGCCUUUCUGUCUGACACUCCAAAACCUUUCUGCUGCACAUUUAGCUGAAGAGUAACAUGCUCUCAUAUGGUCAGCUGUGAGGAGAUAAAAGCCAGUUCUCUGUACAGAAAGACCCCACUUCCUUUUCCAAGUACAAAUCCCAUUCCUUCAUUUCUGUUCACCUGCAUAUUCUCCUAGUGUUAUUUGAAAUCCUUUCAUGACUGUGUUGAAAGCCUAAAAUGCAGUGCUAAGAAAAAGAUUGAUCCAUAAUGGAACAGACCAAUAUUGACAAAUUUCAAACAUACUUUGUAUAAUGUAUCACAUAAAGCACAUGGUUAUUAAUCUGUCUUAGAUACAUAUGUGUUCUGUAUCACCAGAGAUAUUAGCCAUUUUCCACUCUUCAUUCACAAUCACUCCUUACAACAUGUUAGUGCUGUAAAUGCUUUUACCCCUACUUAGCUGGUGGGAAAAUGCUGUACCAGGAGUGGCUUGUCUAAGUUCAGAUGUGUAGACCACUCCCCAGAAAAGUGCUUUAUACAGUGGAAUGAAGUCAUGAACAACCCAAAGCAUUUCAGGUUAAUAACAUGUACAACUUGUUCUGAAGAAGACAAAGAGGAGAGCAUGAGUGCUCUAUUUCAGUAUUUUUUGGUAGCAUGCUGCAUGCAAACCUGUGAAAUAAAAAAGAUGAGGUUUGUUUCCA